rnacentral:lncRNA from 1 species
AGGCCUUUCCUAGUACUUGUGAUUAUUGAUUGUCAAGUCUUCCAAGUUUGCAAUGUAAAUAAUGUGUAACAAUGUGACAUUGGUGUUUUCUAAUGAGGAGUGGAUGAAUGCUUCAGUUAUUACUUCUACUUCAUGAUAAAAGUUUUCACCAAUACUGAGAAAUCUUGAUUUUUGUAACCUUGCAAAAUAACCUAUUACAUACAAGUUGAUUGUCUCUUACCUGAAAUGCUUGGAGCCUCAAGUAUUUUAAGAUUCUUUUUUCCAAUUUUGGAAUCAUCUGCAGAUGUAUAAUGGAAUACCUGGGAUUUGCUGUAUGAGCCUUGUAUGUGUCAUGUGACAGAAAAUCAUGUUUUAAUGGACUUGCUUUGGCUGUGACUUUGCAAUUGGUCUAUGGAACUUUCCACGGGCAUUAUGUUAACACUCUCAAGUUUCCAGUUCUGGAGCUUUCUAAAAUUUUAUAUUUCCAAAUUGGGGAUGCUUAACUUGUAAGUCAUUCCAGAUGUGGAGUGGGCACUACACAAACUGUUUGUCACCAGUUUAUUGUAGAAAUCGAUAGGUGUACCAAAUAAAUUGUAUGCAUA